AAAUUGAAGAGUUUGAUCAUGGCUCAGAUUGAACGCUGGCGGCAGGCCUAACACAUGCAAGUCGAGCGGAAACGAGUUAACUGAACCUUCGGGGGACGAUAACGGCGUCGAGCGGCGGACGGGUGAGUAAUGCCUAGGAAAUUGCCCUGAUGUGGGGGAUAACCAUUGGAAACGAUGGCUAAUACCGCAUGAUGCCUACGGGCCAAAGAGGGGGACCUUCGGGCCUCUCGCGUCAGGAUAUGCCUAGGUGGGAUUAGCUAGUUGGUGAGGUAAGGGCUCACCAAGGCGACGAUCCCUAGCUGGUCUGAGAGGAUGAUCAGCCACACUGGAACUGAGACACGGUCCAGACUCCUACGGGAGGCAGCAGUGGGGAAUAUUGCACAAUGGGCGCAAGCCUGAUGCAGCCAUGCCGCGUGUGUGAAGAAGGCCUUCGGGUUGUAAAGCACUUUCAGUCGUGAGGAAGGUAGUGUAGUUAAUAGCUGCAUUAUUUGACGUUAGCGACAGAAGAAGCACCGGCUAACUCCGUGCCAGCAGCCGCGGUAAUACGGAGGGUGCGAGCGUUAAUCGGAAUUACUGGGCGUAAAGCGCAUGCAGGUGGUUUGUUAAGUCAGAUGUGAAAGCCCGGGGCUCAACCUCGGAAUUGCAUUUGAAACUGGCAGGCUAGAGUACUGUAGAGGGGGUAGAAUUUCAGGUGUAGCGGUGAAAUGCGUAGAGAUCUGAAGGAAUACCGGUGGCGAAGGCGGCCCCCUGGACAGAUACUGACACUCAGAUGCGAAAGCGUGGGGAGCAAACAGGAUUAGAUACCCUGGUAGUCCACGCCGUAAACGAUGUCUACUUGGAGGUUGUGGCCUUGAGCCGUGGCUUUCGGAGCUAACGCGUUAAGUAGACCGCCUGGGGAGUACGGUCGCAAGAUUAAAACUCAAAUGAAUUGACGGGGCCCGCACAAGCGGUGGAGCAUGUGGUUUAAUUCGAUGCAACGCGAAGAACCUUACCUACUCUUGACAUCCAGAGAACUUUCCAGAGAUGGAUUGGUGCCUUCGGGAACUCUGAGACAGGUGCUGCAUGGCUGUCGUCAGCUCGUGUUGUGAAAUGUUGGGUUAAGUCCCGCAACGAGCGCAACCCUUAUCCUUGUUUGCCAGCGAGUAAUGUCGGGAACUCCAGGGAGACUGCCGGUGAUAAACCGGAGGAAGGUGGGGACGACGUCAAGUCAUCAUGGCCCUUACGAGUAGGGCUACACACGUGCUACAAUGGCGCAUACAGAGGGCGGCCAACUUGCGAAAGUGAGCGAAUCCCAAAAAGUGCGUCGUAGUCCGGAUUGGAGUCUGCAACUCGACUCCAUGAAGUCGGAAUCGCUAGUAAUCGUGGAUCAGAAUGCCACGGUGAAUACGUUCCCGGGCCUUGUACACACCGCCCGUCACACCAUGGGAGUGGGCUGCAAAAGAAGUAGGUAGUUUAACCUUCGGGGGGACGCUUACCACUUUGUGGUUCAUGACUGGGGUGAAGUCGUAACAAGGUAGCGCUAGGGGAACCUGGCGCUGGAUCACCUCCUUAAACGAUGAU
rnacentral:rRNA from 1 species